ACUUAACUGUGACCAUACAUCACAAGAGGGGAUGGGUAGAGUAUGGAAAUGGGAGGGCAGACAAUUCACCUCCUUAUCUAACCAGCAUGUGGGUUCAGAAGAAAACGACUUCCCUCGACCCAUCAAUCAUAGAAGGUUGCGUGAGUAAAUUCGCAGCUCAACUUACUUAUAGGUCAAUACAAAGCUAUUCUCUUAUUAAUGUAGAACUCAUUUUCAAUAGGGAGUUUUAACGAAAAGUCCGCGAUACUGUUCACUUUAACGAAAAACCAUAUUUUUAUACUAAAAAGUCAAUCCUUAUACUAUUCACUUUACCCAUUAUUUUGUCCUUAUCGUUAAAACUCAAAGUUUUCAAACUAUUUUCAUUAGUUUUCCAUUUUCAAUAUGUUCACUACGUAUGAAAUGCCCUUUUCAAUUUAUUUAUAAGGCCAUGCAAAGUCUUUUCUCUUAAUUUACUUAUAAGCUCAUGCAAGGUCCAUUUUCUCAUCAAUGUGGAACUCAUUCUCAACACGCCCUCACACACAUGUGAAUGAGUUUGUUGAGAAUAAGUCUCACAUUGAUGAGAUAAUAGAUCUUGCAUAAGCUAAAUCUAUUUAGUUGAUUUGAUUUAUAUUUUUAAUUUUGAUCAAUUUAGUCUUUGUGUUUCACUCAGUUAAUCAAUUUAGGAUAAAUUACACUGUACCACCUCAGGUUUGGGAUCUAUUACAAUCACAUACAACAUCUUCAAAACAUUUCACUUUCAUACCUCACCUACUAUUUUAUUUCAAUAUAAUACCUCCAUUAAUUUUUUCAUCCAUUGAUCCGUUAAGAGCUAACGUGGCUGCCAAAUUUACCUCACGUGACAAAAAAAAUAAUUUUUUAUUCAUUUAAAAAUAAUUAAUUAAAAAAAAAAACC
rnacentral:lncRNA from 1 species